UACGUAGGGGGCAAGCGUUAUCCGGAUUUACUGGGUGUAAAGGGAGCGUAGACGGUUAUGCAAGUCUGAAGUGAAAGCCCAAGGCUCAACCAUGGGACUGCUUUGGAAACUGUAAAACUGGAGUGCAGGAGAGGUAAGCGGAAUUCCUAGUGUAGCGGUGAAAUGCGUAGAUAUUAGGAGGAACACCGGUGGCGAAAGCGGCUCUCUGGCCUGUAACUGACACUGAGGCUCGAAAGCGUGGGGAGCAAACAGG
rnacentral:rRNA from 1 species